rnacentral:lncRNA from 1 species
GCAUCUCUCACAUUGAUCCCUCUCUAGCCUUGGUCAGCUCUUAAAUCCUUGUCUAACUUGACCUCUUCCACGUCCACAUCUGCGUCCACAUCCUCUCACAUGGCUAAUUUCUCUUUCUAUAAGGGCUGCUGCCAACAGAUCCGCCUUUUUCUUAAGCCUUUCAUCUGCUUCCUUUUCCCUUCCUUAGUUCUCCUGCUCCUGCAGUCGGCUGGCAGGGCUGGGCAAGGACAAACCUGAAUAUAAAAUUCAGUGUGUCUGCUGCCCACCAGUCCUUUAUGCUUGGAGAAGAGAGAGAUGUUUCUCUUUUUCCUCUCUUCUAUCUAUUAAACCUCCGCUCCUAAAGUCCUCGUGUUUGUCCCUGUCCUAAAUUUUCCUGGUGCAUGACGACAAACCCCGGGUAUGUAGACCAGACAAUGUAGCCGCUUCAAGGGAUUUGAGUGAGGAAGGAAUGAAUCAAUGGAGCCCAGGGGGGUUUUAGAGCAUUCAAACUAUUCAGGAUGAUACUAUGGGGACCAAGGGAGAGCUUUCCCCUUCUCCCUCUGAAGGACCACUGAAAAAUCACUGACAGAUUGUCUCAUAGGAGAAAAGCAUACAUAUUUGUUUAAUGCGUAUACACGGGAGCCUUUGAAAUGGAGACCCAACUUCUCAACAGAGUACAGAGCUUAGAUACCAUCUUGAGGUUCCACAAAGAAUGUGGGCUCAGAGCAUGGCCAAAACUAGGUUAGGGGCUGGGCGCAGUGGCUCACAACUGUCAUCCCAGCACUUUGGGAGGCUGAGGCGGGCAGAUCACUUGAGCUCAGGAGUUCGAGACCAGCCUGGCCAACAUGGCGAAACUCCCUCUCUACUAAAAAUACAAAAAUUAGCCGGGUGUGAUGGCGGGCGCCUGUAAUCCCAGCUACUUGAGAGGCUAAAGCAGGAGGAUCCCUUGAGCCCAGGAGUUCAAGACUGCAGUGAGCUGUUAUUGUGCCACUGCCCUCUAGCCUGGGUGAUAGUGAGACCCUGUCUCAAAACAAACAAAAAAACCCCUAAAUCUGUGGACUCUGGGUGAUUAUGACAUGUCAAUGUAGGUUCAUAAAGUAUAACAGCUGUACCCCCUGGUGGGGGAUGUUGAUAAUGGGGGAGACUGGGUUGGGGCGAGGACAUACGGGAAAUCUCUGUAACCUUCUUCUAAUUUUGCUGUGAACCUAAAUCUGCUCUAAAAAUGUAUAUAUAUAAAAAGUGGGGCCUUCCUUUCCCUCUCCCCUGCCCCAGCCCUCUCCCCCACCUCCUUCCUCUCCCUGCUGCCUCCCCUCUGCCCUCCCCUUUCCUCCUUAGCCACUGUAAAUGACACUGCAGUGAAUAUCCUGGAGCACAAAGGGCAUGUCUCCCAGUUCAGAAUUACCUCCUUUAUUUAGGGCAGGUUCUCAGAACUAGAGUAGCCGGGCAAAGGUCUGAGGCAAAUGCCUUUGCCCUGGGGCGCCCCAGCCACCUGCAGGCCCCUUAUUUCCUGUGGCCGAGCUCCUCCUCCCACCCUCCAGUCCUUUCCCCAGCCUCCCUCGCCCACUAGGCCUCCUGAAUUGCUGGCACCGGCUGUGGUCGACAGACAGAGGGACAGACGUGGCUCUGCAGGUCCACUCGGUCCCUGGCACCGGCCGCAGGGGUGGCAGAACGGGAGUGUGGUUGGUGUGGGAAGCACAGGCCCCAGUGUCUCCUGGGGGACUGUUGGGUGGGAAGGCUCUGGCUGCCCUCACCCUGUUCCCAUCACUGCAGAGGGCUGUGCGGUGGCUGGAGCUGCCACCGAGCGUCUCGGUGAGGGUGACCUCACACUGGCUGAGCUUACAGGCCCCAUCUGAAGACUUUGUUCGUGGUGUUCUUUCACUUCUCAGAGCCUUUCCUGGCUCCAGGAUUAAUACCUGUUCACAGAAAAUACGAGUGGCCUCCUCUUCCUCCACAACCUCACAGGACCUUCUCCCUUCCCUCCCGCUGGCCUCCUUUUCUCUCCUGUCACUCUGCCUGGGCAUGCCCCAGGGCCUUGGCUGUGUCCUUUCUUUCCUCAGGGAAGACCACAAGUUUGGGCUAGAUGCCUCCGCACCCCCCCACCCACACCCCCUGAGCCUCUAGUCCUCCCUCCCAGGAUGCAUCAGGCUGGAUGGUGACAUCUCCCCACCCUUGAAUGAGACGGCUUUGUGCUGCUCUGGGACCCGCACCCAGCUUGGACUGCUUGCUCCAUGGCCCCAGGAAAAGCUCGUACAGAUAAGUGACACCAAGCCCUGUGAACAAACCAGAAGGCAGGGCACUGUGCACCCUGCCCGGCCCCACCAUCCCCCUUACCACCCGCCACCUUGCCACCUGCCUCUGCUCCCAGACCCCAUGCUGCACUAUGUGGGCUUCGUCCCUGUCAUUGAUGGAGACUUCAUCCCCGCUGACCCGAUCAA